AAGCCCCAAAUGAUUGAAGUCAUUAAUAUAAAAUCUUAUAAAAUAACUAAUGCUAAGUUUGGAUCAUCAUUGUUACAUUGUCAGUGAGAGAGAAACAAACAUGAAGUAUUUGGUUGUUCUCGUUCUCUGUCUGGCGCUCACAUCAGCCAUGCCAUACUUAAGAGUGGGAGCGGAAUUCGGACGAAACUUGGGCGGUCUGGGCAGGCAUCAUCGACUACAUUCACACAUCUUUAAAAGAUCUGCAGACGAGAAAUUCUACAAAUCUGAGGACAAAGACAAAUUGAAUGCAGAACCUGCGCCCAGCGCAGGUUAUUAGAUAUGUUAGUAACUGUAACCAUGCGUUUUCAUUGUAGACAUACAUGAAUAUAAACAUUUGAUGGA